UAGGGAAUCUUCCGCAAUGGACGCAAGUCUGACGGAGCAACGCCGCGUGAGUGAAGAAGGAUUUCGGUUCGUAAAACUCUGUUGUUAGAGAAGAACAGCGCAUAGAGUAACUGUUAUGCGUGUGACGGUAUCUAACCAGAAAGCCACGGCUAACUACGUGCCAGCAGCCGCGGUAAUACGUAGGUGGCAGGCGUUGUCCGGAUUUAUUGGGCGUAAAGCGAGCGCAGGCGGUCAAUUAAGUCUGAUGUGAAAGCCCCCGGCUCAACCGGGGAGGGUCAAUGGAAACUGGUUGAAUUGAGUGCAGAAGAGGAGGGUGGAAUUCCAUGUGUAGCAGUGAAAUGCAUAGAUAUAUGGAGGAACACCAGUGGCGAAGGCGACUCUCUGGUCUGUGACUGACGCUGAGGCUCGAAAGCGUGGGUAGCAAACAGG
rnacentral:rRNA from 1 species